CCUGAAACUGUCGAGCCGUAGCGACCCGUCACACAACAUGACAACAAUCUAACGUGCAAUUCUGUGGACAAAACCGCCUGUUUGGACGUAUUUAUAGGCUUAGUGGACGUAAAGGACGGCAUAUCUGACUAAAGAGGAAGGCUCAGGAGUGACAGACUUUUAGCAUUCAGAGGACGAGAGGAGGCAGACAGGUCAGCACUAACGACAGAGGACACCCUGCACCCUACACUCUGGAGCUCUUAUUCUGGGCUGACUGGCAAACACGGGUGUGGCUCGGUGUCUGGAGCUGCUGCUGACCUCAGCCCUGCUGUCAUGGCCUCAGCCCUCACACCAUGCAGAAAGCACCCCUCCUAACCCUCAUACCUCACACACACUCGCACCACACACCACCACACACACGCGCAGCCAUGAUGACCACCUCCCACAUGAACGGAUAUGUGACCGAGUCAGAUGGCGGGGGAGGUACUGACAUCCUGGAGGAGGUGGUGCAGAGGCACAGGGAGAUGGCGGUGGACUGCCCUAGUGAGCUGGGUGCCCGCACUCUGCCCGUCAGACGCAGCGCUCAGCUGGAAAAGAUCCGCCAGCAGCAGGAGGACCGCAGAAGACGAGAAGAGGAGGGCCGCAGCCGGCAGGAGCUCGACCUCAACUCAUCAAUGCGCCUCAAGAAACUCUCCCAGAACCCAAAGGUGGGCAUUGAUAACCCCACCUUUGAGCAAAUGGAAGGUCCUGGUGGCUCCAUAGGUGGUCUACAGAGCCUCAUCGCACCACCAGCUUUACUAGAGCUGGAGGACCUGUUGAUGUCCCUCAAGCAGGUACAGCAUAAUUUGAAUGACUCUCAAAGUCAAGAGGACGUGGAGCUGGUUCUACAGCUGGUCCAGAAGCCUGACUUCCAGAAAGCCUUCAGCAUUCACAACUCUGUGGCCCACUAUAUGAACCGGCCCAGCCCCCCCUACCCCCUGACGGAUCACGCACAGACCCUCGCUCAAGAGGUCGAGGUCAUGGUGCACAACAGCUCACACAAGGAAGGACUUGAGCUAAGCAGCCUGCUCUCAGCGUCCCACAUGCAGGCGCUCAUGAUGGCACAUGACAGUGUGGCUGAACAAGAGAUGCAGCUGGAGCCCCUUGUUCCUUCUGUCAAUGCAAGCGAGACUCUCACCCAGUGGGGAGGAGAGACUGUCAAAAUCGUACGGAUUGAAAAAGCCAAGGACAUCCCAUUGGGAGCGACUGUUAGAAAUGAUAUGGACAGUGUGGUCAUCAGCCGGAUCGUAAAAGGUGGAGCGGCAGAACGCAGCGGCCUGCUGCACGAAGGAGACGAGAUCCUGGAGAUCAAUGGUGUGGAAAUCCGUGGCAAAGAUGUCAAUGAAGUCUUCGACAUCCUGGCGGACAUGCAUGGUGUACUGUCUUUUGUUCUCAUCCCCAGCGCACAGAUCAAACCUCCUCCCAUUAAAGAGACUGUGGUACAUGUGAAGGCACAUUUUGACUACGACCCUUCAGAUGACCCAUAUGUGCCAUGCCGAGAGCUCGGCCUGUGCUUUCAGAAGGGAGAUAUUCUUCACAUAAUCAGCCAAGACGACCCCAACUGGUGGCAGGCCUACAGAGAUGGGGAUGAAGACAACCAGCCUCUUGCUGGCCUCGUCCCUGGCAAAAGCUUUCAGCAGCAGAGAGAGGCAAUGAAGCAAACCAUAGAAGAGGAUAAAGAGCCUGAAAAAUCAGGAAAGCUUUGGUGUGCUAAAAAGACCAAGAAGAAGCGGAAGAAGAUGCAAUACAAUGCUAACAAAAAUGAUGACUUUGAUAAUGAGGAGAUUCUCACAUAUGAAGAGAUGGCACUUUACCACCAACCAGCCAAUCGUAAGCGGCCCAUUGCUCUAAUCGGCCCACCGAACUGUGGGCAAAAUGAGCUCAGACAAAGACUCCUCUCCACUGAGCCGGACAGGUUUGCUGGCGCUGUUCCUCACACCACACGGAGUCGACGUGACGCUGAGGCGAACGGCCGCGACUACCACUUUGUGUCCCGCCAGGCCUUCGAGAUGGACUCUGCAGCAGGGAAGUUUAUAGAGUCCGGAGAGUUUGAAAAGAACCUCUACGGCACCAGCACAGACUCUGUCCGACAAGUCAUCAACACAGGCAAAAUCUGCCUCCUCUGUGUACACACUCAGUCUUUGAAGGUGUUGCGCAGCUCGGACCUCAAGCCCUACAUCAUCUUCAUUGCUCCUCCAUCCCAAGAGCGAUUGAGAGCCCUCUUAGCUAAAGACAACAAAAACCCAAAGCCCGAGGAGCUGCGAGACAUCAUCGAGAAGGCUCGAGAGAUGGAGCAGAACUACGGCCACCUGUUCGAUGCUGCCAUUGUGAACACCGACCUGGACAAAGCCUACCAGGAGCUGCUGCGUCUCAUCAAUAAACUAGACACUGAACCCCAGUGGGUCCCUUCAUCCUGGCUGCGCUGAGAUUGGUGAAAAUGAAGAGCACAUUGUUUAUCAAUGCUUUAGAAUGCCGCUGUUUUUUGUUUUUCUUCCACAGACAUAGAUAAGGACACUAUACACGCCCUCAACCCCGCACAGAAGUGUCUGUCUGCACUACGCUGUCGGCAGGCUGAGGGAAUGAGAGUUUUAAUGUCAAAAUGUGUGUGUUUUCGAGUCCGCUUAUCCACAUUCCAGUGAGAAAGUUACCAGCACUUGGUGCAGCAGUAGAAUUAGGGCUUCUAUACUGCUUUUGAUAACUAUUUAUGAUUGUAAAUAUUCUAAAUGUAUUUUAAAAGAUGGAUUUGGACAAAUGCAGAGGUGGGAGAAGUUAGCUAGAAUCAGCAUUUUUAAAGAGAUCUAGUCAGACUCCAGAACGGACAUUAUUAGACGUUCGUACACUCUGUUCUCUUCUCUUUCAUCCUUAACCUCUACAAUGUUACAAGAGCAUCCUGCGUCUGAACAACUCUUCCAAGACACUAAAUGGGAUGAAAGUGGAAGCGAGCGAUGCCUUUUUGUCCCUCAGUGUUAUGGCGAAGCAGCACUGCGAUUGUGACAGUGAGAGUUUAAAUACAAAUAAACUUCAGGUUUUCUUCCAGAGUUUGCGAGGCCACAUCUGAACAUAGCUGCGAAGUGGCUCAGUGUGUAAUAUUUCCAGGACAUGUUUCGUGGGACUCUCCUAUUGAUUUUCCUUGACUUUGGAUGAUAAAAAAUAUGAAAAAUCUGCUCCAUGUUGAGAUGAGAUGUGCGAUUGCUUGUGAGUGCAUGGUUUUGGGCUACAUUUGCCCCAUUAGUGCAAAUGCUGGAAGUAUGAAACACUUGACAUUGAUGAACAGAAGCUCUGUAUGUGUGUAUGUGUGUGUGUGAGAGAUCUCUUUUAAAGGAAGGACUGUCAGUGAUUGCAGGCAAGUAUUAUCUCCACAGCUGCUUCAAGCACACACUAGAAACAGCUUUAUUGAGAUUUGUUCUGCAGAACUGUUUUUACUAUUUGUUUUUGUUUUUUUCUUUAAGAUAAUCAAUGUGUAUUUAGAAAGCAACCUGAAUAUUUUUUUAAUGUACAGAAAUAGCUCAGCCAUUAGUUUUGACUCUUGUGCACUACAGUUUGGUUUGUUCUGAGUGUGGACGGAGUGACACCUCAGUCUCAUGUUGAUCUAGUUACACGCCAGGCGACUGGAAGUAGAAGUAAUGAAUGUAAAAGAAAAAUCAUCUUUCCUUCUCCACUGUUUUUUUGUUUUGUAUGAAUUAUUCAAGUGAAUUAAAGCCCAGAUUAAUAGA